ensembl:snRNA U5 U5 spliceosomal RNA
AUACUCUGGUUUCUCUUCAGAUCGUAUAAAUCUUUCGCCUUUUACUAAAGAUUUCCGUGGAGAGGAACGUCCAGGAGUUCGGAGAGAAUUUUUUGAGGCCUUGCUUCGGUGGGGCU